rnacentral:lncRNA from 1 species
GAUUGUCUGGUCAUCUUCCACAUCUCUCUCCGGCAUCAACAAACUUCCCAGAUUGAAGGAGCUCGAGUUCAACCUCAACGGUGUCGGUGACCAAGUCCCUGUUGAGAUGAGGGAGGCCAUUAAAAACCAUAAAAACAAGCCUAGUCUUAAACUUAAUGGGCCAGAAACUCAAGACAAAGCAAAAGGAGAUGAACAAGAGGAUGACGAUGAUGCUGCAACAUCCUCUUUCUGCUGGAAGAAACAGGUCUGACGCUGGAAGGGCCUCUCCGUUGAUCCCAUGGUGUGGUUUGCGUGUGCUAGUGUGGAUUGCACUCUGUUCUGCUUGCCUGUUGAUUUCAUUCUGCUGUGUGUUUAUGUUCUGCGUGCAUUACAACUGAAGUAUGUCCGUUUACUUGCUCUACAUGAGUGCCCUAGUGGCUCCGAUUGAGCAUAAACGGUUGUAUCUAUGCUUGGAUUUAAAUUCGUGUGGCUUUCCUCUGUAUCGAACAUCAUUUGCUUUUGUGUACAGUAUCAUGUAAUAAAGUGUGAAGUUUGUGCACACAUUUGACUUCUUAUUAAUGUACAGCGUGAUAUCACUAUGCUUUGGUUGGGUUUCUGCAACUCAAAGAUGAACUGGUGUGGUGUGUGUCAUGAUAUAGUUACCUGUAAUGUAGGCAUCCGUUUCUGCAAACCAGCUGAGCAGUUCUUGCAGUAAUGCCUGAUGAUGUACUUGAAGCAGAACUUUGUGCAGAUUAGGCAUGUGUAUGAUCC